rnacentral:rRNA from 1 species
AUGCCUGUACCAUAACCGACACAGGUGGGUAGGUAGAGUAUACUAAGGGGCGCGAGAUAACUCUCUCUAAGGAACUCGGCAAAAUGACUCCGUAACUUCGGGAGAAGGAGUGCCUUAUUUAUAAGGUUGCAAUAACAAGAUCCAAGCAACUGUUUAUCAAAAACACAGGUCUCCGCUAAGUCGUAAGACGAUGUAUGGGGGCUGACGCCUGCCCAGUGCCAGAAGGUUAAAGAAGUUGGUUAGUGUAUGCGAAGCUGAUGACUGAAGCCCUGGUGAACGGCGGCCGUAACUAUAACGGUCCUAAGGUAGCGAAAUUCCUUGUCGGGUAAGUUCCGACCCGCACGAAAGGCGUAAUGAUUUGGAUACUGUCUCGGAGAGAGGCUCGGUGAAAUAGACUUGUCUGUGAAGAUGCGGACUACCUGCACCAGGACAGAAAGACCCUAUGAAGCUUUACUGUAACUUGAAAUUGGAAUUGGACUUUGCUUGCGCAGUAUAGGUGGGAAGCGUUGAAGAUAUUCUUGCGGGAGUAUUGGAGCUAUCAGUGAGAUACCACUCUUGUAAUGUUAGAUUUCUAACUUUGAACCAUAAUCUGGUCAAAGAACAGUUUCAGGUGGGCAGUUUGACUGGGGCGGUCGCCUCCCAAAUGGUAACGGAGGCGUACAAAGGUUUCCUCUGAACGGAUAGAAAUCGUAUCUAGAGUGUAAAGGCAUAAGGAAGCUUGACUGUGAGACCUACAAGUCGAGCAGGGACGAAAGUCGGUCUUAGUGAUCUGACGGUACUGAGUGGAAAGGCCGUCGCUCAACGGAUAAAAGUUACUCUAAGGAUAACAGGCUGAUCUCCCCCAAGAGUUCACAUCGACGGGGAGGUUUGGCACCUCGAUGUCGGCUCAUCGCAUCCUGGGGCGGUAGUACGUCCCAAGGGUUGGGCUGUUCGCCCAUGAAAGCGGUACGCGAGCUGGGUUCAGAACGUCGUGAGACAGUUCGGUCCAUAUCCGGUGUAGGCGUUAGAAUAUUGAGAGGAGCCUUCUUUAGUACGAGAGGACCGAGAAGGACACACCGCUGGUGUACCAGUUAUCGUGCCAACGGUAAACGCUGGGUAGCUAUGUGUGGAGUGGAUAACCGCUGAAAGCAUCUAAGUGGGAAGCCCACCUCAAGAUGAGUAUUCUCAUCACUAUAAGUGAGUAAGGUCACGGUAAGACUAACCGUUUGAUAGGCAUUAAGUGUAAAUGUAGUAAUGCAUGUGCUGAGAUGUCCUAACAGACCGAGGAC